rnacentral:tRNA from 1 species
GCCUCGGUAGCUCAGGUGGUUAGAGCGAUGGUCUCAUAAGCCAUAGGUCCCGAGUUCAACUCUCGGCCGAGGCA